rnacentral:rRNA from 1 species
AUGCCCGCGUUGUUGAGCGGAGUUUCCGCAUCCAGCAAAAGCGGCGGCGACUCUUAUCCAUCCCCAUUUUCGUUUGACCCUGUGUUUGUACGAACAGGCUCAGUUCAUGGUCUGGUAUUCCAGAAAAUGGAUUUGACUCAUGAUGUAGGCAUUAAUCUGGUCAACAGUCUCGUUUCUUGGGCACAAGAUCGCUCUUUCCUCAAGGAUUUGCCUGAAGUCACCUCCCAAGACUACUGUCAUUCCUCCAAAUGGUCUAUGCUCUGCGUCCUCAUAUGUGAAUCGAAAAAAGUUGGCGCAUUUGAGGAGUGGAGGCCCAAUGGGAUGCUUCCUUGA